AGGUUGGCCCGCAACAUCGGGACUGAGACACUGCCCGGACCUCCACGGAGGGCUGCAGUAACGAAUAUUGGGCAAUGAGCGAAAGCUUGACCCAGCGACGCCGCGUGUAGGAGGAAGUCUUUCGGGAUGUAAACUACUGUCAGGGGGACGAAAGUGCGCUUCGGUGCAUUGAUCGAACCCAGAGGAAGUCACGGCUAACUUCGUGCCAGCAGCCGCGGUAAGACGAAGGUGGCAAGCGUUGUUCGGUAUUACUGGGCUUAAAGCGUGUGUAGGCGGAAGCGUAAGCGUUUUGUGAAAUCCCUCGGCUUAACCGAGGAAUUGCUUGGCGAACUGCGUUUCUUGAGGCAGGUAGGGGUGCGCAGAACUCUUGGUGGAGCGGUGGAAUGCGUAGAUAUCAAGAGGAAUGCCGGUGGAGAAGUCGGUGCACUGGGCCUGACCUGACGCUGAGACACGAAAGCGUGGGGAGCGAACGGGAUUAGAUACCCCGGUAGUCCACGCCGUAAACGAUGCCUACUAGGUUGUGGUGGUUUGACGCCAGCACAGCCGAAGCUAAAGUGUUAAGUAGGCCGCCUGGGGAGUACGGUCGCAAGGCUAAAACUCAAAGGAAUUGACGGGGGCUCACACAAGCGGUGGAGCAUGUGGAUUAAUUCGAACCAACGCGCAGAACCUUACCAGGGUUUGACAUGCUUGGAUGCCGCCGAGGAAACUCGGUUAGGCUGCCUUCGGGUGAAACUUGCACAGGUGCUGCAUGGCUGUCGUCAGCUCGUGUCGUGAGAUGUCGGGUUAAGUCCCUUAACGAGCGAAACCCUUGCCGCUAGUUGCCAGCGAGUCAUGUCGGGGACUCUAGCGGGACUGCCGGUGUUAAACCGGAGGAAGGUGGGGAUGACGUCAAGUCAUCAUGGCCUUUAUGCCCUGGGCUUCACACGUGCUACAAUGGUCAGAACAGAGCGACGCAAGACCGUGAGGUGGAGCAAAUCGCAAAAAUCUGGCCCCAGUUCGGAUUGCAGGCUGGCAACUCGCCUGCAUGAAGGUGGAAUCGCUAGUAAUCGCGUAUCAGCGAUGACGCGGUGAAUGUGUUCCUGAGCCUUGUACACACCGCCCGUCAAGUGAUGGGAGUUGGGAGUACCCGAAGUCGUCUUGCUAACCCCUCGGGGAGGCGGAUGCCGACGGUAAGCCCGAUGACUGGCACUAAGUCGUAACAAGGUA
rnacentral:rRNA from 1 species